CCCUUAGAUGUUCUGGGCAGCACGCGCGCUACAAUGGUCUUCGCAAACGGAUGCAUUCUCGAAGGAGAAUGCCAAUCUUGGAAUCUAUGCCUUGGUCGGGACAGUUGCUUGCAAUUUUUCGACUCGAACCAGGAAUUCCUUGUAAUCGUGAUUCAUCACAUCACGAUGAAUACGUCCCUGUCCUUUGUACACACCGCCCGUCGCUCCUACCGAUCGAAGAGUUAGGUGAAUUGUUUUGAUCGAUAAGAUUUGACUAUGGUCAACUCUCGUUGUGAAAUUCUGUGAAUCUGACUGUUUAGAGGAAGGAAAAGUCGUAACA
rnacentral:rRNA from 1 species